CGGAGUCGUGUUUUCCCCUUCGUGUUCCUGAACCCUAACUAUAUUUCUUUCCCUCUCUUUAUACAAUCUCUUCAUGCCAUCCUGUUGACCAACCGCCCGCCUCCGCUGGAUCUUCCUCCACGUCGCGCGAAUUGGUGUCGAUUCCAAUUCUUGGCCACUUCGCUUGCUAUAAUUACCACUGCACCGUCCAUUUUCACUGGCUAUUGAUCCCUCGAAUCUGCUCUCCUUGCGAUUUAGGGCUUUGUAUUCGAGCUGGAAAGGCACGUCUUUUGGUUGAGAAAUGGAGGAUGACAACUAAGAAGGAGGAUGAGAGGAAUGAGAAGGUCAUCAGAGGCCUCCUUAAGCUUCCUCCGAACAGGAAGUGCAUCAACUGCAACAACCUGGGUCCGCAGUACGUGUGCAUUAACUUUUGGACUUUUAUUUGUGUUACUUGCAGUGGAAUAUAAGAAGAGUAUCCCAGUUGUGGAUGAUGACAUGCAAGUUUUAAACAAGACUGAGUUUUUGCAGGAUACUUAAAAUGAUCCAGAUAGUAGCAUCUUACAAAUCCCAGAACCGUAUGUUACUCUGCUUUAGCAGCUUGUAUGGCUCCAUUACUUCUACGCCCUCUUCUUCUUGGCGAAUGUGAAUUUGAAGAUAAUUUUAAUUAAUACGAGUGGUGAUGGUUCUAUCGAACUCGUGCAAGCUACUGCUUCUGCUAACCUUGCUCAAGCUAUUGUCAUAAUUAUGUUGGACGUAAUUCUCAAAGGAAGAAAAGUGUCGUGAUAAGAAGUAAUCCUAUCUUGCCAUCAAAUGUCCCACGGUCAUUACAUUUUAUCUUGCCAUCAAAGGUGAUUGAUAGGGAUGUCAGGUUUGUUUGUAUCAUUGCGUGGCAAAGUGUGUAUCAAUUUGAAAUAGUUUGUAUGUGAUUCCAUGACUUAUUGAUUUUGAUUCCUUAUUGCCAAUAAUUUUUUUGUCCACUGCUAGCUGACUCCUUUGCCUAAUACCUCCUUUGCCCAAUAAUUUAUUACCUCUCUUUGUUCUCAUCUUUUGCUUUGAUAUGUCAAUAUCUAAUAUACAUCCAUGUGUUAUCUUGUUGGUUGAACAUUUUGUGAAUUUAGUUAUAGGUAUUAUCAUGGUGUCCUUUUAUUUUUGUUUUUAUUUUGUCUAUUAAACUUUGCCUUGGGGAAAUAAUUAAGCUUGUCGUAUAGUGAUUAAAUUCGGCUGAGUUAGUAGAUAGAGUUUGUAGCGUGUUGAUUGGAAUUAUGAGCAUGUUUUGUAUAUAAAGAUAUUUUUCCAAGAACAAAGCAUAUAUCAGAGACGUAUAGUGAUUACCUUAUUAUGGAAGUUACCAAGACAACUCUAAGUUGGUUAAAUUGCUUGUAUUGCAUAAGUUUUAUUUCUUGGACUAUAAGUUGGUUAUAUUACAUAUAGAUUUAUAUGAAUAAAUCUAAAUCAGAAGUCUAGAAUUCUGGAAUUGAGUGUGUUGGUGCGGUUAGCACUAACGAUCUAACUCAGGUUUUGACGAAUGACAAAUUAGGUUAAGUUAGGUUUGUCAUUAUCUAAUACCCUGAUCGAGUGUGCAGGCUAAAUCCAGACAGGU